AGCAUGAGGAAGACUGUAAGAUAUACUAAAUGUACUAAAAGUCAGUUUUCACAGCUAUGUCUGAGAAAGUUUUACACCAGUAUAUAAGCUUAUAAGUACAUUUAACAGCAUAUUUAUUGCCAUUGCUUAUCUUUUGUGCCACCCUUGCUAUUUUAACAACUGCUUAAUGUCAGGUGACUCAUUGCUUUCAGCCAUGUGGGAGGGAAAAUAAAAAAAACCCACAUUAAUACACCAUAUAUGUAUGCUAUGUGGGGUGUUGUAGGACUGGAAAAAGUCUAAGGAAGAACUUCCUGGAGUCUGGAAAGGGCAGAUGAUAAUACCACUUGGGAAUCUUCCAGUGAGGGAGAAAAAAGGCUGCGCAGAGUUUGUGGAAUUGAAAGCACACAAAGCACUCCAGAACAGUACAGUGAGUUUUCAGGAGGUUGGACUGUUGCAGCAAGUUUCCAGGUCAUCCAAAGAUCUUUCCUAAUUUUGAUCAAGCCAAGGAGUUGACUAGUUGGUCACUGAACAACCUCCUUUU